CAGACUAUGACCUCCGCCUCCUUCUCCCUCUGCAGCUCAGGUGGCUUUCUCAGUCUUUAUAUCUUUAACCUCAGAGCCCCAGCCUGGGCCCCCUGACCCAGCAUCCAGCAGCAAGGAAGGGGUUACUGGAGCUGCAGGUAUUGGGCUGGCUCCUCCACUUGGCCAGGGGUUCGGAGGUGGGCAGCUCGCAAGCGGAGAUCCUGGCUGGGGGUGUUUACAUUGAAAGGAAUGACAGACUUUGUCACAUGGACACAAUUGACUGGAGAGACAUCGUGAGGGACCCACAGGCUGAGACUGUAGUCAAGAACAAUGGAAAAAACUGUGCCAGGGUGGACCAACAUACCCUACAAGUGGAUAAAUUCCCAAGAUGAAAUACUUCAUAAUGGUCUGGUACUGCUAUUACUUCCCCCUCAGGAAAGUCCCAAAACUUAUCCUUCUGGAUCCCUGGCAGUUCUAUCCAGCCAAAUCCCUUAACCCCAGGACAUUCAUCUAGGUCCUUGCAGACUCUUUUAAAAA